rnacentral:rRNA from 1 species
GACGAACGCUGGCGGCGUGCUUAACACAUGCAAGUCGAGCGGUAAGGCCCUUUCGGGGGUACACGAGCGGCGAACGGGUGAGUAACACGUGGGUGACCUGCCCUCAGCUCUGGGAUAAGCCUGGGAAACCGGGUCUAAUACUGGAUAUGACUCCAUGACGCAUGUUGUGGGGUGGAAAGCCUUGUGCGGCUGAGGAUGGGCCCGCGGCCUAUCAGCUUGUUGGUGGGGUGANGGCCUACCAAGGCGACGACGGGUAGCCGGCCUGAGAGGGCGACCGGCCACACUGGGACUGAGACACGGCCCAGACUCCUAGGGGAGGCAGCAGUGGGGAAUCUUGCGCAAUGGGCGAAAGCCUGACGCAGCGACGCCGCGUGAGGGAUGACGGCCUGG